UACGGAGGGUGCAAGCGUUGCUCGGAAUUAUUGGGCGUAAAGGGCAGGUAGGUGGUCUCAUUUGUCCGGGGUGAAAGCCUUGAGCUUAACUCAAGAAGUGCCCCGGAAACGGUGAGACUAGAGUGCUGGAGAGGGUCGUGGAAUUCCCGGUGUAGCGGUGAAAUGCGUAGAGAUCGGGAGGAACACCAGAGGCGAAGGCGGCGACCUGGACAGUGACUGACACUCAACUGCGAAAGCGUGGGGAGCAAACAGG
rnacentral:rRNA from 1 species